UACGUAGGGGGCAAGCGUUGUCCGGAAUCAUUGGGCGUAAAGCGCGCGUAGGCGGCCCGGUAAGUCCGCUGUAAAAGUCCAGGGCUCAACCCUGGAAUGCCGGUGGAUACUGUCGGGCUAGAGUCCGGAAGAGGCGAGUGGAAUUCCUGGUGUAGCGGUGGAAUGCGCAGAUAUCAGGAGGAACACCGAUGGCGAAGGCAGCUCGCUGGGACGGUACUGACGCUAAGGCGCGAAAGCGUGGGGAGCGAACAGG
rnacentral:rRNA from 1 species